rnacentral:rRNA from 1 species
GAGUUUGAUCCUGGCUCAGGAUGAACGCUGGCGGCGUGCCUAAUACAUGCAAGUCGUGCGGGCUUUUAACGAUAUCUGAACUCUAAUUUAUUAGUGUUCAACUGCUUGCGAUUUUUCUUCAUCAAGGCUGAUGAAGUUAAUACGCAAGUUUUAUCAUUAUAUAGUUAGCGGCGGACGGGUGAGUAACGCGUGGGAAUGUACCCCAGACUGAGGGAUAAGCACCAGAAAUGGUGUCUAAUACCGCAUAACCUCUACGGAGAAAAGCUUCGGCGGUUUGGGAACAGCCUGCGUUGGAUUAGCUAGUUGGUAAGGUAAUGGCUUACCAAGGCGACGAUCCAUAGCUGGUCUGAGAGGAUGAUCAGCCACACUGGAACUGAGACACGGUCCAGACUCCUACGGGAGGCAGCAGUAGGGAAUCUUCCACAAUGGACGAAAGUCUGAUGGAGCAACGCCGCGUGCAGGAUGAAGGCCUUCGGGUCGUAAACUGCUUUUAUGGGCGAAGAUUAUGACGGUAACCCAUGAAUAAGGAUCGGCUAAUUCCGUGCCAGCAGCCGCGGUCAUACGGAAGAUCCAAGCGUUAUCCGGAAUUACUGGGCGUAAAGAGAUGCGUAGGUGGCAAUCUAAGCGAAUAAUGAAAUCAUCCGGCUCAACCGGGUGCUGUUAUUCGAACUGGAUCGCUAGAGUACGAGAGAGGAAGUUGGAAUUCCUAGUGUAGGAGUGAAAUCCGUAGAUAUUAGGAGGAACACCAAUGGCGAAGGCAGACUUCUGGCUCGUUACUGACACUGAGGCUCGAAAGCGUGGGGAGCGAACGGGAUUAGAUACCCCGGUAGUCCACGCCGUAAACGAUGGAUGCUAGCUGUUCGAGGUAUCGACCCCUGGAGUAGCGAAGCUAACGCGUUAAGCAUCCCGCCUGGGGAGUACGGUCGCAAGACUAAAACUCAAAGGAAUUGACGGGGACCCGCACAAGCGGUGGAGCGUGUGGUUUAAUUCGAUGAUAAGCGAAGAACCUUACCAAGGUUUGACAUCCUCCGAAGGACUGCGAAAGCAGACUGUGCCUUUUAGGAACGGAGUGACAGGUGAUGCAUGGCCGUCGUCAGCUCGUGUCGUGAGAUGUUGGGUUAAGUCCCGCAACGAGCGCAACCCUUAUGGUUAGUUGGAUUUUUCUAACCAGACUGCCUCGGCAACGGGGAGGAAGGAGGGGAUGAUGUCAGGUCAGUAUUUCCCUUACACCUUGGGCUACACACGCGCUACAAUGGCCGGUACAGAGGGCUGCCAAGUCGCAAGACGGAGCAAAUCCCAUCAAAGCCGGUCUCAGUUCGGAUUGCAGGCUGAAACUCGCCUGCAUGAAGCCGGAAUCGCUAGUAACCGUAGGUCAGCACACUACGGUGAAUACGUUCCCGGGUCUUGUACACACCGCCCGUCAUACCAUGGAAGUCGCCAACACCCGAAGUACAACUUUAAAGGUCCUAAGGUGGGGGAGAUGACUGGGGU